GAAACAGAAUCUAGAAUAUAACCUGUAUGUGAGAAAGUUUCUGUGUACUGUAAUUGUUGAAUCAAUCAACUGCAAGCUUCAUCAUACAUCUGUUCAGCCUUCUUCUAGUUCUAUCUCACAGAACUCUAAGAUAUGAAGAAGAUCAAAAGAAGAAACUAACAACAAGAUCUCUUAUUGAAGACUUGGAGAGAAGUCUCAGAUCAAAGAGAUUCCCUUUUCAGUACACGAACAAUCAAUUCAUACUCCCUCAUCUCUUUUACAUUUUCCUCAGCCCUUUUUAUACUAAGGCUUUCCUUCUUCAACUUCUUUUACAACAGAUUUAACAACUCUUAUUAACAGAACGAUUAAUCUUAGCCACUCGUGUAGCUUGAUCAGCUUCUGAUCUUGGUUUUAAUCUGUUGUAUAACCAGAUCCUUCACGAGGAUUGCCAGCUCAGCUUGGAUCAAGGAUUGCCAGCUCAGUUUUCAGCUUACUCCGAGCUUGCUCUGUUUUUGUCAGCUUCAUUCCUCUGCUUCUAUCUUGCUCAGUUUUCAUCAGGUGAUCAGGAUUCAUCUCUUCCCCAACCUCGUUUGUAUCAUUUUUGGAGGAGAUCCUUCACGAGGAUUGCCAGCUCAGCUUGGAUCAAGGAUUGCCAGCUCAGUUUUCAGCUUACUCCGAGCUUGCUCUGUUUUUGUCAGCUUCAUUCCUCUGCUUCUAUCUUGCUCAGUUUUCAUCAGGUCAGCUUCUCUUCCUUUAUCAGCUUCUCUGUUCUGGCUUUGUUUCUUAACAG